UGCCUCCUGUGCUUGUCCCGAUCACCUCCUCUUCCAGAGAAGAAGUGGCGGUGGGGAACCCCAGGCUAGACACAGUGGGCAGCAGCCAGACUGGUGAGGACAUUGUUCCUACUGCUGGAGAGCCUCUAAUCUGAGGAGGAAGAUGACUUUCCUAGGGAAAAUCUAGUCUAAUAAGGGAAAUAAACUCCUGCCUGCCGAGCACAAUAAUAAUGGGAGACUUUAACGCCCCACUGUCAACAUUAGACAGAUCAAUGAGACAGAAAGUUAACAAGGAUAUCCAGGAAUUGAACUCAGCUCUGCACCAAGCAGACCUAAUAGACAUCUACAGAACUCUUCACCCCAAAUCAACAGAAUAGACAUUAUUCUCAGCACCACACCACACUUAUUCCAAAAUUGACCACAUAGUUGGAAGUAAAGCACUCCUCAGCAAAUGUAAAAGAACAGAAAUUAUAACAAACUGUCUCUCAGACCA
rnacentral:lncRNA from 1 species